AUGAACGCUGGCGGCGUGCCUAAUACAUGCACGUCGAGCGAACACACGAGGAGCUUGCUCCUCUGACGUUAGCGGCGGACGGGUGAGUAACACGUGGAUAACCUACCUAUAAGACUGGGAUAACUUCGGGAAACCGGAGCUAAUACCGGAUAAUAUAUUGAACCGCAUGGUUCAAUAGUGAAAGACGGUUUUGCUGUCACUUAUAGAUGGAUCCGCGCCGCAUUAGCUAGUUGGUAAGGUAACGGCUUACCAAGGCAACGAUGCGUAGCCGACCUGAGAGGGUGAUCGGCCACACUGGAACUGAGACCCGGUCCAGACUCCUACGGGAGGCAGCAGUAGGGAAUCUUCCGCAAUGGGCGAAAGCUUGACGGAGCAACGCCGCGUGAGUGAUGAAGGUCUUCGGAUCGUAAAACUCUGUUAUUAGGGAAGAACAAAUGUGUAAGUAACUAUGCACGUCUUGACGGUACCUAAUCAGAAAGCCACGGCUAACUACGUG
rnacentral:rRNA from 1 species